GGGCUUUUCGGGUUUUCCGCGCCGUAGCUAACGCAUUAAGUGCCCCGCCUGGGGAGUACGGCCGCAAGGCUAAAACUCAAAGGAAUUGACGGGGGCCCGCACAAGCGGCGGAGCAUGCGGAUUAAUUCGAUGCAACGCGAAGAACCUUACCAAGGCUUGACAUGUGCCGGAUGGCUCCGGAGACGGGGUUUCCUCUCUUUUUUGGGGGGCUGGUUCACAGGUGGUGCAUGGUUGUCGUCAGCUCGUGUCGUGAGAUGUUGGGUUAAGUCCCGCAACGAGCGCAACCCUUGUCUCGUGUUGCCAGCACGUUGUGGUGGGGACUCGCGGGAGACUGCCGGGGUCAACUCGGAGGAAGGUGGGGAUGACGUCAAAUCAUCAUGCCCCUUAUGUCUUGGGCUUCACGCAUGCUACAAUGGCCGGUACAGAGGGCUGCGAUACCGUGAGGUGGAGCGAAUCCCUUAAAGCCGGUCUCAGUUCGGAUCGGUGUCUGCAACUCGACACCGUGAAGUUGGAGUCGCUAGUAAUCGCAGAUCAGCAAC
rnacentral:rRNA from 1 species